CACACCAAAAGAGGUUUCUAAUUCUACACUAAACAGAACUCGAAACAUGAAAAUAGUUUUUUCAACCUUUUCUGUUAGUGUGUCCAGUCCCCUGGCAAGGUGUUACACAACACUUGAUUAAGUGGUGUUACAACAUAUGAACUGGGGACAGCAUCCAAGAUGUCCAACCUUUGUUUUUUGAACGUAAUCUUACUCACGCUCGCAUACGCCAUUUUCGUGGUGGUUGCCAUCUGCUUUACAGAGCUCGACAACGCCUGCGCACUAGCCCUCAGUCCCUCUGGAGAUGCACUGGAGCAGGGAAUCUCCAAAUGCCAUGUUGAACGAGCACCACGGAUGAAGGAGGCGGAGGAAAACAGACAGCUUCUUUCUCCCACAUCUUCACCAAGUCAUACAAUGUUUACUUCAUGAACAACUGUUACAUCAGAAAUAAAUACAUUCUUUUAGUUUA